CAUAAGGAAUUUAUUGGGAGCACCAAAUACAAGUAUAAGGAUAAUUGUUUUACUUUUAUUAGUUUUAUUUUCUUCUUCCUUUUUUUCUAGGAUUAUGACAGUUUUUUCGAAUCAAAGGAAAGCAACACAGUCUUUUCAUUCUUAGGCCUGAAACCACGGUUGUCAUCAAAAGCAGAACCCUAAAGAGGAAAAGUGGAAGAUGACGGAGAUGCAUUGUGGAGCACCCCCAGUACUCAGUACACCCCUCCUUACCUAAUGCAUCACUGUGACAAAAGCCACGUGCAUCACCAGUAACUUUGCUUGCCACGGAAAAGGUGUUUUUAGAAGAUGUGGGUAUAAUGGGGAUUGCAUGAUUGCUUUAAACCAAAUCAGGACUGUGGUGGAUUUUUUUCUUAUUUUCAGAUUUUUCUGCAGUUGCCUCACUCACAUGAAAGUACAGUUACCUGUUACGGAUGUGCUUCCUUUAAUGACUGAAAGAUAAGUGGGUGGCACCAUUAGAGAGGAAAUGUUGGAUCUGUCCUAGGUUGUAGUAGAUGCCAGUAUUGCAUAAACCUGCUUCUCUUUAAGCUGCCUGGAUUGCAUCCUUGAAAUUAGUCUACAAGGCUAUUAGAAUGUUUGGAUCAGAAAGAAGAAAAGCAAUGCUGGUUGACAAAGGGUGUUGAAGAUUUUUGUUGCAGAAUCACAAAUGUCACUGUUCCAGUGCAUUGUAAUAACACCUGUCAAAAAAGUUAGAUGUUCUAGACUUUUUUUUGUAAUGGAAACUUUUGCCCCCAUAAAUCCUGUGAGCUCCCUACACAUGUUUCCAAAAAUAACUUGCAGCAUUGGGUAAUUAGAACCAAGUUACAGGGAUGAAAAUAAUUGCUAUUUUGGAAAAUACAUGCUUCUUUGUUUCUUACAAGGGGAAAGUUUCACCCAAUGCAUAAGACUACUUGAAAGAUAUAUUUUAAGAGGUGCACUAAUUAGAUAGUAAAUUUAUAGGAAAAUUGUCUGAAUAGUGUCUGAAUAGUAUCAGAAAGCAUCAGCUCUAGCAAUUUAUUUAUAUGUAAGUACAUAUGUAUUUUUAAAUGCAACUCCCCUAACUAACAGCUGCUUAUUCUAUUUUAUGAAGGGAUUAUAUUUUUUGAGAAAGGAAGAUCUCAGUUAGAUAUAUUUUGUGAACCCUUGAUGAGGCAUAUUAAAAGAUACCAAUAUUGCUGUACAAUUUAAUUUUUUUCUUGUGUUACUUUUCAUUGUUCCUCCAACUUUGCUUGCUCAUAUUUAUGGCCAAUGCACAGGCUCAUGUUUUCAUAGUAAUACAGAUACAUGCUCUAAUUCCAUAUAUGAGUACAAUGAGUUUUUAGAGCAACAUAUAUAAGAAAGGAGCUGUCCAGAAAGUAACUUUGGAUUGUACUUGGCAAGCAAAAUCUCUACUCCCAUUGGAGUGGAUGCCAAUAAACUUUGAACAUGAUUACUUCAUUAGGGCAGAGGCCAACUUUUCUGCAUCCUUGUCCCUAUAAUAGGGACACUCACAUUUAUUAGUUUGUAAUUGCCAAAUAUAGGAACAGCCUUGAAUAGGAUAAACUCUCAGAGGGCUGCCUAAAAUACUCUACUAUUCCCAACAUUCUCAUGCUGGACCCAUCAUUAUGAUUCUGAGCAGGACAUUUAUAAGAAAUUGAAAGAACAAAAUAUUAAAGCUCUGUCCCAUAUGCCUCCCACCCUGCCCAUGCCUUGCUAAAUGUGGACUAUUCUAAAGGACUUGUUUAGUGCUAAAGCUGAAAUCCCAGCCUAAGAUUUGCAGUCAGGGCUUAUAACCAGAAGGAAAGCAUGACAGAUUUCUACUUGACUGGAACAGACACAUGAUCCACAAUUUUCUCUCCAAGGAAAGCUGUUAUCAAGUCAUAGGUGUUACUGGUUAGUUGGCAUUAAAUAAGAGAUCAAAGUCAAAUUCCUUUUGAUAAAUCCCAGGGACUAUUCAGGAAUUUCUUUUUAACUGGAUAUUGUGUUUGAGUAUGUAAGUCUUCUAGGAUUUCUUUCUAAGAUACAGCAAUUUUAAAAAUUGUCAUGUUGUAGUUACCAAAUUUACAUUUAGUCCACCCUUGCCAGUGAGCACCAAGAACCAACUUGGUAAGGUAGAGGCUUUGCACGUGAAAUUCUGGGGCUAUAGGAUUUGCUAGAUAAACUUGUUAGACAAAGAAAGCUAUUCAGAUUUGUAUGUCAUAUAACUUUUGAGUUAACCAUGGUGUGCCUAGUAUGAUUAUAUUCAACAGACUAGAUGCAACACUUGAUCUUAGCCAAAAGUCCGAGAAGCAAUCAACAGACUAGAUGGAGAGUAGUGCUAAAUUUCUACCACAUUUACAACACCAUCUCCUGCCCCGAUUUUUUUUUUUUUGAUCAGCAAAGAAAUACAAGAGACCAGCCUCAGGCAGUCCUGUACUUGCUAUGAGUGAGCUAGAAGCAUAGUGUGUGGCAUUUACCACAGUACCCAGGCUCCACGGAGUACCAGUUGUUACCCUCUGGGACCACACUGUGUUCACAGAAUAUUGUGUCUUUACUUGUACUCUUGUACCAUCUGGAUUCCAAACAUGGAAUAAUGAUUGUCGUGUUCCCUUCUUUAACUAGAUGCCUUUAGAUUUUGAUAAUCACAGUCUCAAAAACCUAAGAAAGAAGUGGCUGGGAAUUGCAGGCAAAAUGUAAGAUCAAGGACAUUUCAAGACAAUUUUUAUUUUUUGCAGUAGGUUUGUUGGGACAAAGGAAAUGUGCUGCUAAAAAUCAAAUUACGCCAUUUUAAAAUUAGACAUAAUAGAGUGCCAUCCUCCUAGGCGCAUGCAGACUAGAAGAAAAUUUAGUUGGGGACAUACUUGUUUUUCCAAAUUCGUAUGUUUUAUUAAAAUCAAAGAGGGGAAGAGGAAGAUUUUUUUUUCUCUCAAACUAAUAUAUUAUAAAUUUGUUCCUUUUUUAUAAAUUUAGUUGAAUACUCCACAUAGAUGUCCUUAUAUUACACAUGAAUUUAAUAAUGAGCUAAACUUAUUUUUGUCUUCUGUUAUUGAAAGGUACCAAAGCCUCUUUCUGUUUUGUUUUUGUUUUGUUUUGUUUGUCUCAUUUUACUAUGGGGUUUUACUUUUUCUAGAAAUGCUUUUCAUUUAACAGCUUUUCUUAAGUGUCAGGGUCCACUUUGAUCUGCAUAAUUGUUUUUAGAGUUCGAUUUAUAUGUGUUUGUCUCUAAUUGCACUGGUGAAAUCUCAGAUUUUAUAUUAAGCAUUAAAGGGGAAUAAAUUCCAGAAAACACGUAUUCUGAACACAGAGUUUUUGUUCCCUAUCAUUUCUCGUACCUUUUCUGAUUUUAAUUCUGUUUGUCCGAAUCCUUUGUCUAGUUGGGAAAAUGUGUUUCUAUACCCAGCCAUGAAUCCUGUUUAUCAAAGCUGCAGAUUUGGUUGUAAAAAUGCAAACAGGUUGUGUGACCAUUCAAGGAGCCAUGCGUGUGUGGUCCUACAUGAAGGUGUUGAGAGGAGACUACAAAAUCAUAUCAUCUCAUACAGUGAUCAGGACCGAAGACAGGGUUAAAUCACUGAGCCCCAGGUUGGUUCAAAUGGAUGACUGUGUGGUUACCUGAGUACACUGAAGCCAGAGGCUUCUGGAAAUGUUCUAAUUGAGUGCAGAAAACAAGGACAGAGUGGCUGUGACCCCUAUUACCAAGGGCCCCCUUUGAGGCAGCCACCUCUGAAAGCAGAAAAAAAUAUUUCUGAAAGCAGUGUCUGAGGUUGAUCUUAUCACUGAGCUGUUUCAAACCUUAAACACCAGGACAAAGGGAAGGUGUAGGAAAGGAUCAAAGGGAAUGGGCUGUCAGUUUGCAGAAAUGUGCUAAAGCAUGAAACCAGAUAAGCAAGUGAUCACCAUCCACCUGUGCCCCAGAUUUCCAAAGUUUUCCUAGUUCUUCUAGAGAUGCAGGUCAGAUUAGUUUGGUCAUAUAUUUCAGCAUAUAUUGAAUGUGAUGGGUACUGUCUGAGCAGGACAAUAGUCUCCAGCCUCAAGGAUGAGGGAAACAGAAACAAAAGCAGCAGUUACGGCCAGUGGUAAAUGUUAGAGUUGAGGGACGUUCAUAGCACUCUGGGCUGUGGUUCAUCAUCUGAAACAUUACAGAUGUUGUAUUUCUUCGUUACAGCCAUCCCAAUCUUUUAAAGUGUCAUACAUGCGGUGGAAUAUAUAUAUGCAUACACAUAUGAUAAAUACACUAAAGUAUAAAGAAGAAUAAUAAACAGCCCCUGUGUGCCUGCUGCCCACCUUAUUGCCUUUCCUCUGAGGCACUGUGCACUCUUCUCUGAACUUGUCUCCCUCCCUGAUAGAGGGAGCCCCUAUCCUGAACUUUGUGUUGACCAUAGCCUUCCUAUGCUUUACCAUUUUACCUCCACGUAUGUAUCCUUAAAAAAGAAUAAAUGGAAUUAAACCAAA